CUUCAAGAGUUUAGCCCUUAGAACUAGCCCUAUAUCGAUCAGGUUUCUCCAAGAACCUAACUCGACCCUCUCAGAGCUUUCUCUGUGUUUUUGAUUCCUCUUCUUUAAAAUCCUCACAACCUUUGUUUGGACCAAAUAAAGCUUUGUCUUAAAUCCUAAAGCCUUGUCCUAAAACUAAGAUAGGUUGUAAGAACGAAAGGAG
rnacentral:lncRNA from 1 species